rnacentral:misc_RNA from 1 species
GCAGCCCGACGGUGAAAUACCA